rnacentral:rRNA from 1 species
GGACGGGACCCGCACAAGCGGUGGAUGAUGUGGAUUAAUUCGAUGCAACGACGAAAACCUUACCUACGCUUGACAUGUCAGGAACCUCGAAGAGAUUUGAGGGUGCCCGAAAGGGAACCUGAACACAGGUGCUGCAUGGCUGUCGUCAGCUCGUGUCGUGAGAUGUUGGGUUAAGUCCCGCAACGAGCGCAACCCUUAUCAUUAGUUGCUACGCAAGGGCACUCUAAUGAGACUGCCGGUGACAAACCGGAGGAAGGUGGGGAUGACGUCAAGUCCUCAUGGCCCUUAUGCGUAGGGCUUCACACGUCAUACAAUGGUCGGUACAGAGGGUUGCCAACCCGCGAGGGGGAGCCAAUCCCACAAAGCCGAUCGUAGUCCGGAUUGCAGUCUGCAACUCGACUGCAUGAAGUCGGAAUCGCUAGUAAUCGCGGAUCAGCAUGUCGCGGUGAAUACGUUCCCGGGUCUU